rnacentral:rRNA from 1 species
AUGCCGAUGAUCGUCCAGAGGUUCGUGGACUGGACGGUGUCAUGGCUGCUGAUGUACGGAGAGGCGAAGCUGCUGCUCGUCAUCUACCUCUGGCACCCCAGCACACGGGGUGCGGGGCACGUGUACGAUGGCUUCCUCCAUCCGCUGGUGGCGUGGCACGAGGCCGACAUCGACCGGGGCCUGCUUGAGCUGAGGGCGAGGGACGUGACAGCGUCACAACUCAAGGCGGUGGCUGCCAUCGGUCAAGUGUGGCUCGUCGAGGCUGCCCGCUGUGUUCCGUCGCAGCUACAGGCCACGAGAUCAGGCCGUGAAGGCGCCACGCAUUGA